GGUUAUUAUAAUAAAGACACUUUAUGCAUUUCACUGAUAAUAAGAUGCCGUUGUCUUUGUUAGGUUGUCUGGUCUUUUGGAGACUUCUUUUGAUAAAACCAAACAGUGGAAAAAGAGAUCAUGCUCUGUUCCUGAGCAGAAUAUAACAACUGGAGACAAGGAAAAGCUAAAUCCACCGUUGGCACAUACAUCCCAUCCAGGGCGAGUGUCCGAAACAGCUUUGCAUUCUGAUCCUACAAAAGAGGAACCUGCUGUUCUCUUAAAGAAAGAGACUGCAAAUCCAAAACAAUCAAAGACGAAAACGAAGUCUAAAGAGAUCACAGAUGCGACUAAAUCACUAAUCAGUAAAAUUGGUGACAGAUAUCAAGUAAAGACUGAUGAGAAAAGCAAAGCAAGAUGCUCCUUGGGUUUUACCAGGCCACAGUUAAAUAAAUCCUGUGUCUCUAAGGAAGAAGUUCAGCAUAGAAACCCCAAAACCACUACUUUGCAUAAUGGAACUGCUGGUCAUAUUAUGUCCCAGAACUGCAUGUUACUGAGCUGA
rnacentral:lncRNA from 1 species